GAGUGAAACCUGGGAGUGUGUAGGGCGUGAAUCCUGGGAGGGUGUAGAGUGUGAAACCUGUGAGGGUGUCGGGUGUGAACUCUAGGAGGAUGCAGGGUGUGAAGCCUGAGGAGGUGAUGGGUGUGAACUCUGGGAAGGUGCAGGGUGUGAAGCCGGGGAGGUGUAGCGUGUGAAUCCUGUGAGGGUGCAGGGUGUGAAACCUGGGAGGGUGUAGGGCAUGAAUCCUGGGAGUAGAGUGUGAAGUCUUGGAGGGUGCAGAGUGUGAUGCCUGAGAAGGUGCAGUGUGUGAAAGUCGGGGAUGAGCCAGUGUGGGAAGGGAGUCAGGGGUGGUGAGCAAGGGAGAGGAGCUUGUGCAAGCAGGAGGCAGGGGUCCUGAAGCUCCUGGUGACCAGGGAAUGAGCACCAGGGUGGGCGUGGCAGGAACGGAGGCUCAAGUGGAGGGAAAGCAGUCCACUCCAGGGUUCUGUGAUCCAAGGAAGGAAAUUUAUGGUUCACCCUGUGCAUGAUGUGAAUGGAGCUGGUGCUUUGUCAACAAGAGAUCUGGAGAGACAAUGGUGUCAGCAGCCCACCCUGGCUGCUGUGUGCAGAGUGGACCUAAGCAGGUGGGACUGGGUGUGGAAGAUCAUGUGGCUCUCGAGGCAGUCUGCCUGGGUGUGAUGGGCUUCUAAACCAGGCUAUUGGUGGUCAGCUCAGGAAGACAAAGGAGGCAAGACAUACAUGGGGGUUAAAAUCAGCUGGACGUGGGACUUAAGGAACAUGUGAGGGAUGGAGGGGACAAGAGGAUGUGAAGGGAGGACACAGAGCUUGUGCUGGCUCCAGGCUUUGGCUCAGGCAACUGGAAGGUAAUGAGAGAAGCCGAUUUGGAGGAAGGUAAUGAGUUUGGUUUUGGAUGUAAAUUUAAAGUCCUGCAGGACACCCAGCUGACUAACAAGGAAUGAACAGGCUGCUUUAAAUGUCAGGGCAGUUUGGGGCUGAUCUCUAGGUCUGGAAGCCAUAAGCCAGAAGGAAAGUUUAAACUACAAGCACUCAUAGGACCAGUGCUCUUAGGGUGAGAAAUGCAGUGUUCCAGGAUAAAGUAAGGAGGCCGUGGAAGAGAAGAACCCAGGACCAGGACUAAGACAUGGAGGCCAGAGGGGUGAGGUGGGCAGGGAGGGGUUGCACCAUGGAGCCCACAGAGCACAGAGCUUGUGGCGGAGAGCACAGAGAGAGUUGUAGCAAUCGUGUUUAACUCUGUUUCUUAAAAAUAUUAAGAAUGUCCUCUAGCUUACAAUGUACUAUUAACAACCAUGAUUGUAACACAGGAAAGCACGUAUUGGCAUUCUACAAAUAAAAAUAAACAAAAUCUGUCUUAUUUUCUCUUUUAUUCCCAAUGUCUGACUCCUGUGAGGUGAUGCAAGGUGAUCAACCAGUAUGUGUUGAAUGAAGAUGUCAUCAAGCAAAUGACAAAAUCAAGCACUGAAGUAACCACCAAGUCUGGAAAGUUUACAUCCUGUGUAUUUUAGGGUUCAUGCCUUCCCACCCCAAGCUGUAGCCUCAGCAUCCCCUCAUGGAUGCUAUUGCACCAGCCACACCACCUCACCCCACAGUGCUCCCAGCAGCGUCCCUCACGUCCCCGCGACACAUUGCUCACAGUUCCUCUGAAGCAUACAUCUGAAUGGCAGAGGCAAGGUGCUUGUCAUUGUGCCAUUUUUGAAACUCCUGUAAGUUCUCACUAAAACAGAGCAACUUGCAUAGCAAAACUAGAAACCCUCAGGCGGCAUCUUCAACAAAAGUAGUAACAAGGUACCCACGUGGACCCCAACACGAUGACCAAGCAUGCUGAGCCAUGGGCCGGCCCUUCCCCACCCACCUGGUGUUGGGAGGUGGUGGCCAGGAAACAGAGGCCACAUGGGGACUCACGAAGGACAGUGGCCCACACUGGCCCGGGUGCCACGCCAGGCACGUUGAGGGCGUCCGGUGGUGGGUGCCUGGCCUCGUCAGCUCCGACGGCGACCCAGCACCACCAAGCGACCUGGGAGCUGAGUCUCCUACCAGAUGGGGAGACCCUGGGACAGAGAAGGAAGGUCCGGAUCAAACCGGAGAAGAAUCGAAGCAGGUGUUUGCACCUCUUUUGUACCUGAUCCAAACAAACCAGUUGUGACACAGAUUCCUAAGACACCAGGGCCAGGGGGUGAACGGCUUGCCAAAGCCCUUCAAAUGUCACUAGCCCAUGUCACCAGCCCAUGACAAAUGACCUAGGCUUCCCAGCGCUUGGAUCCAGACCUCUGCUGCACACACAGAGUGAGAAACCACACACAAGUCUUCUUCCAAAGAAACUUCUCACUGAAAACAACAGGUGUCAAUAUGUUCUUCAACUUAAAACUUUUUUUGAACUUCUGCCCCUGGAAAUAAGUAUGUUAAAGAAAGCAAAUCAUCAAUUUAAAAAAAAAAAAGAAAAAAACCUUAUAUAACAGAGCCUGAAACUAAACCACCAUCCAGAUUAGAAAAAACAAAAGUUCCAGAAAUGAUGCUGCCCAGGCCCUUGCAUAAAUCCGGCCCAGCCAGCACCCCCGAGGCCUGAGCCGUGAGCACCUGCCUGCCAGGGCCACCAUCCCCACCGAGCCGCUGGUGUCUGCCUCCUCUGCAGCCUGUCUGCACUGCGAUGGCCUCUCACCCAGAUGCUGAGCUGCUCCCCUCAGGGACAAGGGGAUCUUGCUUCACGCCUGUCUGACCAAGUUCCACGGGGUCAUGAUUGAUGAGGCCUAGGGUGAGUCCGCCCACCGUCGGCAACGCUGGCCUGAAGCAGGCCGUGCAGGCCUGUCCUGAGACCCACCCUCCCUGGCUGGGGCACCAGUGUCUAUCACACACGCUUCAAAUUCAGCCACCUGAUUUUCUCUGUUCGAGGCUAAUGAGCUAAACAGGCCUGGAGCAUUGUUUUGUACUGUUGAUCACAUCGUGAACCACACGUUCCUGGGCUGGCACAGGCUUCUGCAGCCUCCUGUGCGGGAUUUGGCAGACACCAACAAGGGAAUUUCGAAUCAGCGCCUCUGCUCACUGAGGGUCUCUCUCGCAACAGUCACACCUUCCCACUUGCUCCUCGCUGAGACCCCACGGUGGGAAAGCCAGUGAUCUCCACUCCCGGCCUCCUCCUUUUGGCCUGGAUUCUGCCUUUGAAAUAUUUCCAGCAGUCAAACCUCCACUUUGAUGACUGGCUCCCUGGACAACCAGUUUCUAGAAACUCGAGGCCACCCCUCCCACAACACCCAAAAGGCACAGUCCCACUUAGCUUUCUGACCUCUCUCCUUUUAGAAGCUGCUUUGUCUCGUCCCCUGGUCUCCAUCAGACCCUUCCUCACCCCCUUCCAUCCCUCCCCUUUCUCCCCUCUUAUGACUGUCUUGAGACCCUGUAAGUCCCUGCCACUCUCCCCGCAUCCCUCUGGGACUGGAUGGAGAGCCGAGGACCUGCCAUCUGCAUGAGAGAAGCUCCUGGGCCACCGGACCUGAUGGAAUCAUCCAUCGCUGGGGCUGCCCUGCUCCUGCUCGGCCUCUCUCAGUGGCAUUCUGCGGGGGAUGGCGGUAGCACGUCGGGCAGCCUGGUGCGGGCUCUCCUCCUGUGCAGUGCCAGGAGAUUGCUGCUCAAUUUCAGCCCUGUGGAUGUAAUGGCAGUGCCCUUCUCUAAGCUUCAUUCCUGAAGUCACGGGUAGAUUUGUAGACCCCGCACUGCGGAACCACUCUUCAUUCUCAUGACACACAUGUGAAAUUACCUCAGUUUUGCCAGCAGCUCCCUGCACAUAGUAGGUGCCCAGCACGCAGCUGCAGAAUGAGGGGUGCACCAUCCUUUGGGCUUCUCUAAGCCGUCCCACUGUGCACACACAAAGACAACACAAUGCUCAUCAUUUGUCACCAGUUUUGAAAAGGACCUCAUGACCCCAGCACUGCAGCCACCUGACUCAUAGCUUUGCUUUGAAAUGUCCUUUCCAAGUACUUUCUGAAGUACUCCCAUUCUUCAAGAAGACUUGAGACUAUUUAAUAUUACAGUGACCCUUAAACAAUGCAAGACACAGGGGCACCGACCCCGUGUAGAGUGGAAAGAAAAUCCAUGUAUAACUUUUGACUUCCCCAAACCUUUACUCAUAGCCUACUGUUCACCAGAAGCCUUGCAGAUAACAGAAACAGUCAAUUAACACAAAUUUUGCAU